rnacentral:rRNA from 1 species
UACGUAUGGUGCAAGCGUUAUCCGGAUUUACUGGGUGUAAAGGGAGCGUAGACGGUAAAGCAAGUCUGGAGUGAAAGGCUGGGGCUCAACCCCGGAACUGCUUUGGAAACUGUACAGCUAGAGUGCAGGAGGGGUGAGCGGAAUUCCUAGUGUAGCGGUGAAAUGCGUAGAUAUUAGGAGGAACACCGGUGGCGAAGGCGGCUUACUGGACUGCAACUGACGUUGAGGCUCGAAGGCGUGGGGAGCAA